rnacentral:rRNA from 1 species
GACGAACGCUGGCGGCGUGCUUAACACAUGCAAGUCGAACGGAAAGGCCCUGCUUUUGUGGGGUGCUCGAGUGGCGAACGGGUGAGUAACACGUGAGUAACCUGCCCUUGACUUUGGGAUAACUUCAGGGAACUGGGGCUAAUACCGGAUAGGAGCUCCUGCUGCAUGGUGGGGGUUGGAAAGUUUCGGCGGUUGGGGAUGGACUCGCGGCUUAUCAGCCUGUUGGUGGGGUAGUGGCUUACCAAGGCUUUGACGGGUAGCAGGCCUCAGAGGGUGACCGACCACAUGGGGACUGAGAUACGGCCCAGACGACUACGGGAGACAGCAGUGGGGAAUAUUGCACAAUGGGCGGAAGCCUGAUGCAGCAACGCCGCGUGCGGGAUGAAGGCCUUCGGGUUGUAAACCGCUUUCGCCGGUGCCGAAGCGUGAGUGACGGUAAUGGGUAAAGAAGCACCGGCUAACUACGUG